GUCAGGAGAAGUCCAGAGCAAGAUGGAGCUCCAAGUGUAGGUGGAUCGGAUACUAGACAGAAGAUUCGAGAGGACAAGAGGCAAUGUCGCAAGGUGAGAUUUCUAUUACUGCAGAAUGACACCCCAAGCAGGUCUAUGGUCAGAGUGGACACAGCCCAUGAUGGAGGUAGGAUUGAGCGACCUGGCUCGACUUCCAUAUUUGCCCAUCCAUGAGAUAGCAGGCAUGCCCCA
rnacentral:lncRNA from 1 species